UGGCUGGGAGCCGGGCCGGCGAGCGGGGCUACAUCCCCAACAACAUCGUGGGGCCCACGGACCAGGCGCCGCCGGAGAACGGCGCAAACCAAAUGCCGAGAAGCUCCCCGGGGCUCCAGCCGAGCUCCACGCCAGCAGAGGUGACGGCCUGGCUGCAGGACAUGGGCUUCUCCAAGAUCACCGUGAAGUGCCUUGGUGUGCUCAGCGGUCACCAGCUGCUGGGAAUGGGCGAGGAGGAGAUAACAGCCGUCUGCCCGGAAGAGGCGAGACGUCUUCUUCAAGCUCUGCGCCAUUAAAUCGACCCUGGAGCGUGGCCCUCGCAACUAGCGGGCUCCCCCUGCACCGUCUCCCCAGGGCAGCAGCAGCAGCGCCAUGAGCGACGCUGGACCGGAAGAACAGCCGAUCCCUUCCAGCAUCAGCCCUGCUGCUCUUCUAGGGUUUGCCAGAGUCUCUUCCCCUGCCCCGUGCAGAGACCCCACAUCUGUCACUCCCUGGUUUUGUUCAGCGCUAGCCCAGUGGGGCCUUGGCCUGCUAGACACGCCAGCUCCACCGAUCCUAUUUAUUCUCUCCCAGACACCAGUGCUCGGCCCCAGGACAGAGGGGCCAGUCUCCAAUAGCUCAGCUGUUCAGCACCAGCCCAAGGCACGUAACCCAGCAGACACCUCUCCCUGCUCCUCUGCCGUGGGAAGAGACUUGGGCACAGGCCGAUCAGAAUCAGGCUGCUCCCUACCUAGGUGUAACAUCAGCGCCGGUUCUGCCACCCCAGGCUACAUGUGUUUCCUCUCCUUGGCUAGCAGCUGGCAUGUAAAGGGAGGUCCUGAUUCCCCCAAUAAAGUGACUGAAUCAACAGCUGGUCCCCAUGCCCGACGGGCAGAUUUGGGAAGGGGACUGGGAAUGGGGGACAACCCCUCACCUCCCUCCUGCAGCAGGCUUGGUGCCCGGCCACUGCCCCUGGCCCCAUCAGGUGGGUGAAGUGGCGAUCAAGCAGAGGGAAAGUGUGUGU